rnacentral:tRNA from 2 species
GGCCCCGUAGCUCAACUGUAUAGAGCAUUUGACUACGGAUCAAAAGGUUGUGGGUUAGAAUCCCGCCGGGGUCA